UAGGUGUAAGAGGCGAACGCGGAGAACUGAAACAUCUAAGUACCCGCAGGAAAAGAAAUCAACCGAGAUUCCCAAAGUAGCGGCGAGCGAAAUGGGACCAGCCCUUAAGUUACUUAGAAUUUAGCAGAACACUCUGGAAAGUGUGGCAAUAGAGGGUGAUAGCCCCGUAUGCGAAAGGUUCUAAGUAAUGAAAUCGAGUAGGUCGGGACGCGUGAAAUCCUGAUUGAACAUGGGGGGACCAUCCUCCAAGGCUAAAUACUCCUAACUGACCGAUAGUGAACUAGUACCGUGAGGGAAAGGCGAAAAGAACCCCGGUGAGGGGAGUGAAAUAGAUCCUGAAACCGCGUACGUACAAGCAGUCGGAGCCCCUUCGUGGGGUGACGGCGUACCUUUUGUAUAAUGGGUCAGCGAGUUAUUGUUAGUAGCAAGGUUAACCGUUUAGGGGAGCCGUAGGGAAACCGAGUCUUAAUAGGGCGUCUUAGUUGCUAGCAAUAGACCCGAAACCGGGCGAUCUAGCCAUGGCCAGGUUGAAGGUGCCGUAACAGGCACUGGAGGACCGAACCCACCUAUGUUGAAAAAUGGGGGGAUGAGCUGUGGCUCGGAGUGAAAGGCUAAUCAAGCCCGGAGAUAGCUGGUUCUCCUCGAAAACUAUUUAGGUAGUGCCUCGCGUUUAACUGCUGGGGGUAGAGCACUGUAUCGGCUAGG
rnacentral:rRNA from 1 species